ACCGAAGGUACAAUACCUCUUUAGAACACUCCCCAUAAAAUUAACAAGCCACUUCCUUCAAGAAGCGCAAAAAGUCAUAAUGUCAUUCAUAUGGGAUGGCAAGAAGCCAAGAAUAUCCAAAAAUAUUCUAUAUCUGCCACGAACACAGGGAGGGAUGGGGGUACCAAACAUAAACAACUACUACCAAUCAGCAAUCCUCAGCCCACUCCUAGCAGAAAGCAACAAAGACCAAGC